AUGCACCUCGGAUCUCUCAUCCUCACGGCCUUCCUGGGGCAACUGCUGGGCACCAUGGGACAGAUCACUGUCACCCAGCAAGGAGAAGUCACAGUGAAGCAGGGAGACACCUUCCACACAACAUGCACAUACCAGACUUCCAGCUUUUAUGGCUUGGACUGGUACCAGCAGAGGAAAGGCCAAGGUCCCCAGCUGGUCUCCUAUCAGGUAGCAGCUGGCCGCAAGCCCAGUGGCCGUCUCACCACCGUGCUGAACACCACCGAGAAAUACAGCCUCCUGCAGCUGGAGGAAGUCGAGCUCUCUGACAGUGCCUUGUACCUCUGUGCAGUG